CGAGACGCUCAGCACGCCCUACGACAUCGGCGACCAUCAGCUCAUGAUCGGAGCGAGCGUCGGCAUCGCCGUGGCGCCCACCGAUGGUCACGACCCAGACCAGCUUCUGAAGAAGGCCGAUAUGGCUCUUUAUCGAGCCAAGGCGGAUGGCCGGGGCAAGUACUUNNNNNNNAUGGACGAGAGAAUGCAAGCUCGUCGAGCGCUUGAGGUCGAUCUCCGCAAGGCUCUGGCGCGGGAGGAGUUCGAGGUGUUCUAUCAGCCUCUCGUCAACCUUCAGACGAACGAGGUCAGCAGCUUCGAGGCGCUGCUGCGCUGGCGACACCCCGUGCGCGGCAUGGUUGGGCCCGACAAUUUCAUACCGCUUGCGGAAGAGAUCGGAUUGAUCAACGAAAUCGGAGCCUGGGUGCUGAAACAGGCGUGUUCGGACGCCAUGGGAUGGCCCGAUCACCUGAAACUCGCCGUUAACGUAUCUUCUCUUCAAUUUAGGAGUAACAGGUUAUCCCUCGAUGUCGUGGCAGCCUUAGGUCAUUCGGGACUGCCUGCAAGCCGGCUUGAAAUUGAGAUCACCGAGACCGCGUUGUUGCAGGAUACGGAGGCGACCAUCGCGGUCCUGUAUGAGCUUCGACAACUCGGACUCAGCAUCGCC
rnacentral:misc_RNA from 1 species